rfam:Bombyx mori DNA, contig: Bm_scaf4_contig3854, strain: p50T/Dazao, build 2, whole genome shotgun sequence.
UGCAUUCAAAUCUGUAUGCAGUUGGAACGUUUGCCUACGUUUACCGCUAGGAGCGUUGUCCCAACUGCAUACAAAUUUGACUUA